CUAAAAGCAACAGAUUUAUGUGAAGAUCUGGGUCUCAAUCUCCAACCACCGCGAAAUCUGAGCCCUUUAAAUUUUUAUGUGUGAAACUGCGUGCCUUUAUUUCUUUUGCAAAAUAUCUGAUACAAACUCUAGAAUCUCGGUAGCUUUCUGAAGGACUACUCUCUUAAUAGAUCCAUUCAUCUUCUCAGCAAUUUUAGGUAAACCCUCAAUUUUUGAUUUUAUCUUCUUCUACUUCUUUUCAAAUUUUGUCGAUUUCAUGCUGCAAAUUAUUGUUGUUAUUAUUCAUUUUAACUUUCUCUUCUAUGUGCUUGUUCAUUCCAUAAUCUAAAGAGAAGAGAAUCAGUGAAAGUAUUAUAUCUUAUGGUCAAAAUAAAGUACCCUGGAAUUAAGGUCUGCCCUUAACUUAAGUUAUGCAGCUAUCUUUUAUUCUCACUCUAGGAGCACAUGUUUUCCAUUAGAAGACUAAUUUAACGAUAAAAUUGAACACAGAUUUUUCAAUGAACGAUCGCUUUAUGCUUUACUCUUCGGUCUUUGAAUUGAAUUUGUGACCAAAGGAAUGUUCUUUUUUUAGAAUGCCUAUUUAAACAAAUGGAUUCAUAAGUGAUGAUACAUGGCAUUGCUGAAUUUCUUUUUAUCCAUUUUGUUGGAAUAUGAUGGUCACACAUUUCUGAAUGCCUGAACAGGUUCGCCAAAGUAAAAAUUGCUAAAGGGGGGAAAUGAACACUUUUUUCUCUGUAACAUGUAAUUUUCUCCCUUUGUUUCUAUUUUCUUUAACAAAAAUUGGUUACUACAACCAACAUAUCAACAACAACAACAACAACAACCCAGUAUAAUUCCACUAGUGGGUCUGGGGAGGGUAGUGUGUACGCAGACCUUACCCCUACCAUGAGGUAGAGAGGCUGUUUCCAAUAGACCCUCGGCAUCCUUCCCUCCAAGAACUCCCCACCUUGUUCUUGGGUGACUCGAACUCACAACCUCUUGGUUGAAAGUAGAGGUUGCUUGCCAUCAGAGCAACCGUCUAACUUAACUAGAACAAAAAAAUUAGAAAAAAUAAUCUUUGCUCACUGCAGCCAAAUGUAAAAGCUUUUAAGACCUUAGCUUUAACUUUUUCGUACUCUUAUAUAGUAUUCUCCUAUUGUUGUUUCUUUAGGUUUCAACCUCUGAAAUUGUGGAUACAUACAUCAGCAACCUAUGUAUAUGACGCAAGUUAUCCCUGUUAUGUUCUAUUUCUGAUAUGCUCUCAAACUCUCAAACAUCAUUGAGUAUGAACACAAGUACUAUAUACAUCAUAUGACACCACAAUUGACAACUAAUACUUUAUCUAUAAGCUACGGAUUCACUUUCACCACAACAUUCCAGUAAAAUUACAUUUUCCGAUCUACGAAAGAUAACAAAAUUAAUUUCUUUUAAGGUAAGAUACCCAAAAUGAUCGUCAUUUACUAUUUUUAACCUUGUUGCUGAAAGAUAACAGAACAAAUAGGAAACAGUUCUUUGCGCCUAUCGAGAAAAUACCUUGCUUACUACUAGCCUUACUUUUGAGUGUAAACAUGACGCAGAAAGGCUUUUUCUGAACUUCCACAUUUGGUAAAGAUAGUUAGAAUCUUUAAAUAUAAUGUUAAUUAUUGUGCUAUGAUCUUAAUAGAAACUUCUGUCCUCUGUCUGAGAACUAUACAGAAAUGAAUUUCAGAAUUCAAAAUCGAGAUAGCUUUUUCCUUUUAAUCUUACUUAUGCAUUAUACUGGAUUCAAGUCUUGGAAUUGUUUUCUUCAAAAGAUGAACUAAUAUCCUUUCUUUGUUUCACUUUCAAAACUGAUCAAACGGAUAGGCCUAGGAAGCUAAAUAAACCAAAAAAAUAAUCAGGAUAGGAAAAGUAGUACAUUAUGUGACAAUUAGUGGUUUCUAAAAAUGUGUUUGUUUAAGUUUCCUCAAGAAAUUUUUGCAAAAAGUUUUUAUUUUUUAAAGCUAUUUGUUGAAGAAGUGGUUUAAGUGUGUUUUUCUAAGAAGUGACAUUCUUUCACUCCCAAAACAUUUGGAAAUUCUCAGAGUUCUCCUCCACUUACAAAAUACUCACAAAUUAUCCUGGUUUUCUUUUUCUGCUGAUACACGAGCUAAUUAUAUGUGGCGCUUAAGUAUUGUGUCACAUAUUUUACGUUUAUUUUUUUCAGCAGCAACCAACAGUUAAUUUAACAAACAAGAAGAAGAAAGUUAGGCAAACAAAAUUAUAUUAUUCAGACGCCAAGAACAAACACAGGGUUUGAACAGAAGUAGGAAACUCAACUUGCUUAUAUAAAGAGGAACACAGAAACACAGUUCUGAUCCUUUAUUUAAAAAUAAAAAUAAAACGAUCACCGAGAUGAAAAAAGCACUCAAUGGUUUAGAUUUCAAUGGAGUCCACCAGUAAAGCGAUGAUGUGAGGUUUUAGAACCUUUUCUGGAUGAGUGUAUCCAUCUUGAUUGUGCUUGUAAGUGACAUCUAUAAUACGAGCGAGAUUGAGAAUACGAGUGAGAAUUUCUGUAGAAACAGGAGUUGGUCGAAGAAUUCCUUCAUUCACAUCCUUCCAUGCUAUCUCAGCCAUUUCUUGGAAUUUUUCCAUUGCUACUUCUGUUGAUACGCCAUAAUCCCUCAUAUAACACUCAAUUCCUGUUGCAAUUUGGCCCCUACCCUUCUCAACCUAAAAUAGCAAUUACAAUUAUAUAUAUUUUUAACCGCAACAAUCAUAUAAGAUGCUUUAAUUUAAUGUAAUGCGAUCGAUGUGUACCUCAUAUGUGGCAAUGUCAUCUACAACUCGACAUAAUGUUACAUUGGCUUCCAAAAUUUUAGGGUUGGUAGCCAACCACUCAAAAUCUUCCCUGGCAGCUGAUUUCAUUCCCAAGUAGGAUGUUGUAGUUAGCAAGUAAUAUGUGCUAGUAGCUAAUGCAUUGUUAAGAUACUCAGAAACAGGUGGCAUAUAUCCCUCAAUGAACCACUUUGCUUCGACAAAAUAAUUUCUCACAAUUUCCUUCAUCUAUUUAACACAAACAAAAAUUAAUCAAUAUAAUAUUCCAACAAUAAAUCUGAUUAUAAAGAAAAAUAAGAUAGAUAUAAAACGUUAUAUAUAAAUCAGUGAGUCAUACUCUUUCUUUCGCAUAGUGGACAACAUAGGAUCUGCCAUCCGUUGACAAUUCCUUUUCAUAAUCUUCAUAAAGGUCUAUAAGAGCCUUAAAACUGAUUUUCAUGUAGUCUGGGAGUCGAUCAAUUUGACUAAUAUCCCACCUAAUACAUAAAAAAAUUUAACAUAUAGUAAGUUUCCCAUUUAAGAAACCAUCUAAUAAAUUCAUAAAUUGUGGAAACACGAGUUUAUACCUCUGUAUGGCAUCAGUGUAGACCUCAAGUUCUUUUACAAUGCCAUAAGCAUCGAAUGUGUCAUCUACUAUCGAAAUCAUUGCUAUAGUCUUAGCAAGCAUGACACGAGCCUGAGAAUAUUGAGGUUCAGCAUACACCCCCAUCGUCCAAAAGUAGCAUUCAACAGCUCUAUCCCUAGCAUAUGGAAGUGUUGUCACAAAAUCCAAAUCUUUCCACCACCUACAAAAUAACCUUAGAAUAUGAGAAAUUAUUAUGAACAAAUAAUUUAUAUGUUUUUUUACGUAAAACAUAUCAUUGUACCUUGAUACUUGGCUGAGUUCUUGUUUAUGCAAAAUCUGAAGUAAGUUGUAAUCUAAUUUAGCAAAUCGAAGUAGCACAUCAUUUUUCAGUUCCUCCUCUUCGUAGAUAGAGAUGAAGUAACGCGUCUCCACUCUUGGAAUGCUUUUAUGCAGAGAUUGCUCAAGAGCAUGCAUCACUUGCUUACUCAGAGGUGACUUCAAAUGUGGAGUUGCAGAUUCAAGAUGAGCAGUGGCAAAAGCAAGUGCCUCUUCCAAAAUAUCCUCUCCAUGAAUCCUUACAUGUGAAGCUUCGUAUAAGCUCAAUAGACCCUUUGCAUCAUUACUAAGACUAAGAGACUCCUUGAAUUUUCCGUUUGCGUCUUGGAAUCUGCUGAAAAUUUCUGGAUCAUGAAUAAAAACAAAAGAUUAGUUUUCAUGCAGCAAAAGUUGAAAAAUUGGUGUAAGAAUAUAUAAUGGACCUACUUGGGGAGAUAUUGUAACCAUGUUGUCUCAACAUUCGAAAUUGAAGGGCACAAGUGUACAAAUCAUUGUACUCAUGACCUUCAAAGUUUGGAUCUUCUUUAUAAAUCUCAUCCAACAUGUCUUCUAUUUGUUUCUCAAAAUGAUAAGCUAAGCCAAGGCGCUCAACAGUGUCUAUCAGAUUCAGCUUUUCAGCCAAUGAUCUUUCACAAGCUGCUCCCAACAUACUCCUUGUUUCCUCCUUCAAUGUUUCAAUCUCUUGACCAUAUUUUUCUGCCACCUGUGAAUGUAUUUAUUAAGUUCAUGUAACGUCAACUUAAAAAGACUAUGCAUAAUAUAUAAAUACCUGAUUGUCAACAGAGAAUGAAUGGAAACUGUCACCCCAAAGACUUGGAGAGAAA
rnacentral:lncRNA from 1 species